rnacentral:rRNA from 1 species
GUUGUAUGGUUAAGUGACUAAGCGUACACGGUGGAUGCCUUGGCAGUCAGAGGCGAUGAAGGACGUAUUAACUUGCGAUAAGCCCAGAUUAGGUAGUAAAAACCAUUUGAGUCUGGGAUUUCCGAAUGGGGAAACCCACUAGCAUAAGCUAGUAUCGCUGCGUGAAUACAUAGCGCAGCGAGGCGAACCGGGGGAACUGAAACAUCUAAGUACCCCGAGGAAAAGAAAUCAACCGAGAUUCCGAAAGUAGCGGCGAGCGAAAUUGGAUUAGCCCUUAAGCUUUUUAUGCGUCAGGUGAAACUUCUGGAAAGUUGUGCGAUACAGGGUGAUAGCCCCGUAACCGGCAACGCAUUUAAAGUGAAAUCGAGUAGGGCGGGACACGUGAUAUCCUGUCUGAAUAUGGGGGGACCAUCCUCCAAGGCUAAAUACUACUGACUGACCGAUAGUGAACCAGUACCGUGAGGGAAAGGCGAAAAGAACCCCUGUGAGGGGAGUGAAAUAGAACCUGAAACCGUGUACGUACAAGCAGUAGGAGCACCUUCGUGGUGUGACUGCGUACCUUUUGUAUAAUGGGUCAGCGACUUAUAUUCAGUGGCAAGGUUAACCAUCUAGGGGAGCCGUAGGGAAACCGAGUCUUAACUGGGCGUUCAGUCUCUGGAUAUAGACCCGAAACCAGGUGAUCUAGCCAUGGGCAGGUUGAAGGUUGAGUAACAUCAACUGGAGGACCGAACCGACUAAUGUUGAAAAAUUAGCGGAUGACUUGUGGCUAGGGGUGAAAGGCCAAUCAAACCUGGAGAUAGCUGGUUCUCCCCGAAAGCUAUUUAGGUAGCGCCUCGGACGAAUACUACUGGGGGUAGAGCACUGUUAAGGCUAGGGGGUCAUCCCGACUUACCAACCCUUUGCAAACUCCGAAUACCAGUAAGUACUAUCCGGGAGACACACGGCGGGUGCUAACGUCCGUCGUGGAGAGGGAAACAACCCAGACCGCCAGCUAAGGUCCCAAAUUACUACUAAGUGGGAAACGAUGUGGGAAGGCUCAGACAGCCAGGAUGUUGGCUUAGAAGCAGCCAUCAUUUAAAGAAAGCGUAAUAGCUCACUGGUCGAGUCGGCCUGCGCGGAAGAUGUAACGGGGCUAAGUAGUAAACCGAAGCUGCGGCAAUGCACUUUAGUGCAUUGGGUAGGGGAGCGUUCUGUAAGCGGUUGAAGGUGUGUGGUAACGCAUGCUGGACGUAUCAGAAGUGCGAAUGCUGACAUGAGUAACGAUAAAGGGGGUGAAAAACCUCCUCGCCGGAAGACCAAGGGUUCCUGUCCAACGUUAAUCGGGGCAGGGUAAGUCGACCCCUAAGGCGAGGCCGAAAGGCGUAGUCGAUGGGAAACGGGUUAAUAUUCCCGUACUUCUUACAAUUGCGAUGGGGGGACGGAGAAGGCUAGGUGGGCCUGGCGACGGUUGUCCAGGUUCAAGUGCGUAGGCUGAGAGAUUAGGUAAAUCCGGUUUCUCUUAAGGCUGAGACACGACGUCGAGCUACUACGGUAGUGAAGUCAUUGAUGCCAUGCUUCCAGGAAAAGCCUCUAAGCUUCAGAUUGUAAGGAAUCGUACCCCAAACCGACACAGGUGGUCGGGUAGAGAAUACCAAGGCGCUUGAGAGAACUCGGGUGAAGGAACUAGGCAAAAUGGUACCGUAACUUCGGGAGAAGGUACGCUCUCGACGGUGAAGUCCCUUGCGGAUGGAGCUAUUGAGAGUCGCAGAUACCAGGUGGCUGCAACUGUUUAUUAAAAACACAGCACUGUGCAAAAUCGUAAGAUGACGUAUACGGUGUGACGCCUGCCCGGUGCCGGAAGGUUAAUUGAUGGGGUUAGACUUCGGUCGAAGCUCUUGAUCGAAGCCCCGGUAAACGGCGGCCGUAACUAUAACGGUCCUAAGGUAGCGAAAUUCCUUGUCGGGUAAGUUCCGACCUGCACGAAUGGCGUAAUGAUGGCCACGCUGUCUCCACCCGAGACUCAGUGAAAUUGAAAUCGCUGUGAAGAUGCAGUGUACCCGCGGCUAGACGGAAAGACCCCGUGAACCUUUACUACAGCUUGGCACUGAACAUUGACCCUACAUGUGUAGGAUAGGUGGGAGGCUUUGAAACUAGUACGCCAGUAUUAGCGGAGCCGUCCUUGAAAUACCACCCUUGUAGUGUUGAUGUUCUAACGUCGACCCCUUAUCGGGGUUGCGGACAGUGCCUGGUGGGUAGUUUGACUGGGGCGGUCUCCUCCCAAAGCGUAACGGAGGAGCACGAAGGUGGGCUAAUCACGGUUGGACAUCGUGAGGUUAGUGCAAUGGCAUAAGCCCGCUUGACUGCGAGAAUGACAAUUCGAGCAGGUGCGAAAGCAGGUCAUAGUGAUCCGGUGGUUCUGAAUGGAAGGGCCAUCGCUCAACGGAUAAAAGGUACUCCGGGGAUAACAGGCUGAUACCGCCCAAGAGUUCAUAUCGACGGCGGUGUUUGGCACCUCGAUGUCGGCUCAUCACAUCCUGGGGCUGAAGUCGGUCCCAAGGGUAUGGCUGUUCGCCAUUUAAAGUGGUACGCGAGCUGGGUUUAGAACGUCGUGAGACAGUUCGGUCCCUAUCUGCCGUGGGCGUUGGAAGAUUGAAGGGGGCUGCUCCUAGUACGAGAGGACCGGAGUGGACGAACCUCUGGUGUUCGGGUUGUGUCGCCAGACGCAUUGCCCGGUAGCUAAGUUCGGAAUCGAUAACCGCUGAAAGCAUCUAAGCGGGAAGCGAGCCCUGAGAUGAGUCUUCCCUGAUACUUUAAGUAUCCUAAAGGGUUGUUCGAGACUAGAACGUUGAUAGGCAGGGUGUGUAAGCGUUGUGAGGCGUUGAGCUAACCUGUACUAAUUGCCCGUGAGGCUUAACCAUACAACACCCAAGGGGUUU